UACGGAGGGUGCGAGCGUUGUCCGGAAUCACUGGGCGUAAAGGGCGCGUAGGCGGCCUGAUAAGUAGGGGGUGAAAUCCUGCGGCUUAACCGCAGGGCUGCCUUCUAAACUGUCAGGCUAGAGCACAGUAGAGGCAGGUGGAAUUCCCGGUGUAGCGGUGGAAUGCGUAGAUAUCGAGAGGAACACCUGCGGCGAAGGCGGGUUGCUGGGCUGACACUGACGCUGAGGCGCGAAAGCUAGGGGAGCGAACGGG
rnacentral:rRNA from 1 species